UGCAGGUUUUGCAGAAAGCUGUGGAGAGAAGUUGAGUGCUGGCAAGAGCCUGAGCAGAUGCUGCGGGUGGCCCAUCCAGCCGCAGUGUUGGGGUUUGGAAGUGUUGUAGUGAAGGUGCCGGAGGCAAACGCGGCGAUCGAAGGAAGACUGGAGAGGAUGUGGCUGCCGUCGCGGGUGCCUCCUGAGGACAAAUGGUGACCCGCAGGCUCUGCACUCUAAAAGCUAAGCUGAAGGGCAAAGGGUGUUGGGGUGUGUUGGCUCAG